UACGAAGGGGGGCUAGCGUUGCUCGGAAUGACUGGGCGUAAAGGGCGCGUAGGCGGAUGGCACAGUCAGAUGUGAAAUUCCCCGGGCUUAACCUGGGGGCUGCAUUUGAUACGUGUGAUCUAGAGUGAGGAAGAGGGUCGUGGAAUUCCCAGUGUAGAGGUGAAAUUCGUAGAUAUUGGGAAGAACACCGGUGGCGAAGGCGGCGACCUGGUCCUUGACUGACGCUGAGGCGCGAAAGCGUGGGAGCAAACAGG
rnacentral:rRNA from 1 species